rnacentral:rRNA from 1 species
GGGAAUUUUCCGCAAUGGGCGAAAGCCUGACGGAGCAAUACCGCGUGAGGGAGGAAGGCUCUUGGGUUGUAAACCUCUUUUCUCAAGGAAGAAGUUCUGACGGUACUUGAGGAAUCAGCAUCGGCUAACUCCGUGCCAGCAGCCGCGGUAAUACGGAGGAUGCAAGCGUUAUCCGGAAUGAUUGGGCGUAAAGCGUCCGCAGGUGGUGGUGUGUGUCUAUUGUCAAAGCAUCAUGCUUAACAUGAUAAAGGCAGUAGAAACUACACGACUAGAGUGCGUUCGGGGCAGAGGGAAUUCCUGGUGUAGCGUUGUAAUCAAAGAGAUCAGGAACAACGUCGUCAUGGGAGUGUUCCGCAAGUGGGAUAGAUACACUAGUGUCAUGGGACUGCGC